rnacentral:rRNA from 1 species
AGCAGCCGCGGUAAUUCCAGCUCCAAUAGCGUAUAUUAAAGUUGUUGCAGUUAAAAGCUCGUAGUUGAAUUUCGGGAUCAAUAUGUCGGUCGUGCCUUCGGUACGUACUGGUAUCAUUGGUUUCUCCUUUCUGACGAACCAUGAUGUCAUUAAUUUGGUGUUAUGGGGAGUUAGGACUGUUACUUUGAAAAAAAUUAGAGUGUUUAAAGCAGGCUUUAGCUUGAAUACAUUAGCAUGGAAUAAUGAAAUAGGACGUUUGAUCCUAUUUUGUUGGUUUCUAGGAUCGACGUAAUGAUUAAUAGGGAUAGUUGGGGGCAUUAGUAUUCAAUUGUCAGAGGUGAAAUUCUUGGAUUUAUUGAAGACUAACUACUGCGAAAGCAUUUGCCAAGGAUGUUUUCAUUAAUCAAGAACGAAAGUUAGGGGAUCGAAGACGAUCAGAUACCGUCGUAGUCUUAACCAUAAACUAUGCCGACUAGGGAUCGGAUGAUGUUAAUUUUUUCAAUGACUCAUUCGGCGCCUU